rnacentral:rRNA from 1 species
CCAGACUCCUACGGGAGGCAGCAGUGGGGAAUAUUGGGCAAUGGGCGCAAGCCUGACCCAGCGACGCCGCGUGAGGGAAGACGGUCUUCGGAUUGUAAACCUCUUUCAGCAGGGAAGACAAAAGGACGGUACCUGCAGAAGAAGCCACGGCUAACUACGUGCCAGCAGCCGCGGUAAUACGUAGGGAGCAAGCGUUGUCCGGAAUUACUGGGCGUAAAGGGCGCGUAGGUGGGCGCUUAAGUCAGGUGUGAAAACUCCGGGCUCAACCUGGAGACUGCACUUGAAACUGGGUGUCUUGAGGGCAGGAGAGGAAAGUGGAAUUCCUAGUGUAGCGGUGAAAUGCGUAGAUAUUAGGAGGAACACCAGUGGCGAAGGCGACUUUCUGGACUGUACCUGACGCUGAGGCGCGAAAGCGUGGGUAGCGAACGGGAUUAGAUACCCGUGUAAC